rnacentral:rRNA from 1 species
ACGGGAGGCAGCAGUGGGGGAUAUUGCACAAUGGGGGAAACCCUGAUGCAGCGACGCCGCGUGAGUGAUGAAGUAUUUCGGUAUGUAAAGCUCUAUCAGCAGGAAAGAUAAUGACGGUACCUGACUAAGAAGCACCGGCUAAAUACGUGCCAGCAGCCGCGGUAAUACGUAUGGUGCAAGCGUUAUCCGGAUUUACUGGGUGUAAAGGGAGCGCAGACGGCAUGGCAAGUCAGAUGUGAAAGACCGGGGCUCAACUCCGGGGCUGCAUUUGAAACUGCCAGGCUGGAGUACAGGAGAGGCAGGCGGAAUUCCUAGUGUAGCGGUGAAAUGCGUAGAUAUUAGGAGGAACACCAGUGGCGAAGGCGGCCUGCUGGACUGUUACUGACGCUGAGGCACGAAAGCGUGGGGAGCAAACAGGAUUAGAUACCCUGGUA